CCCUUAGAUGUUCUGGGCCGCACGCGCGCUACACAGACGAUGGCAACGAGUUUUUCCUUCGCCGAAAGGUGUGGGUAAUCUUUUGAAACAUCGUCGUGCUGGGGAUAGAUCAUUGCAAUUUUUGAUCUUGAACGAGGAAUUCCUAGUAAGCGCGAGUCAUCAGCUCGCGUUGAUUACGUCCCUGCCCUUUGUACACACCGCCCGUCGCUACUACCGAUUGAAUGGUUUAGUGAGGACUCCUGAUUGGCGCCGCCGCCCCGGCAACGGAGCAGCGGACUGCCGAAAAGUUGUUCAAACUUGAUCAUUUAGAGGAAGUAAAAGUCGUAACA
rnacentral:rRNA from 1 species